rnacentral:lncRNA from 1 species
ACGGCUCUUUCCCCCUAAAGUAAACAAGGAAGCAUGUGGUCCUGGCAGAUGAAGUCAGCCAUUUUGUGAUCCUGAAGAUGAAAUUGGCUUUUCAACUUGAGCUACAGCUGUAACCAAAUCAUAACUGAAACUGCCUCUCCCUCUAGACUUUUCAAUUAUGCAAGAUGUAAGGCGAGAAUCCGAGCAUCAGGAGGGAGUCCUUGGCUUCGUCCAACUCUUCAAGGGCCCGGUCCAGAAAACACAGCUGCAUGCAGAUGAUGUGUGAAAGCAAGACCUGCCGGAAACAGCCCAUGAGUGUGAACAUGCACCAUAGAAGAGAGCCCCAGCAUUGCAGAUGCCAUCCAGGAGUCCAGCAUUCAACAGAGCCAUGUACAACAUGAAAGGGAAAUGUGUGCACCAAAAGUGCCUGGCACUGACAUCCUUGUCGUCUUCCUCUUCCUUGAUCCUGAACCAGAGUCCAUCCCAGAGCCUCCGUGCUGGUGGCUUUGUCUGACAGCUAAGUGCUGACCAACCAUCAUGCUUACCGAUGUCCUCGAAAUCCUACCCUUCCGCCAGAUCCGCAUUGCCCAUCUGUUUUCAUCUGCUCUGACAAAGUUUUGAUGACACCACACAGUCGUCAAAGGUACUUGGUACCUGGCACAGAUAUCCGGAGGGGAUGCAGGGACCACUACACCCCAACACAGCACCUGGGGAAACUCCUGAAGACCCUAAGGCGACAGAUGUCCUGUCCUACACACAGAGGGAGGAGGCCGAGAAGGCUCUGAGCCACGUGUCUUACUAAGUGUCCCCUGGACUAUCACCCUUAAGUCAAACUUCCUUUUUGUUUAAUCACACUUCUGUACAACUGUCCCUUCUUGAUUAAAGCUAAGCAUAAAAAGACACCAUGUUCUCUGGGUCUUUGGCUCCAGUGUCACUUAGGACUUUGGUUCAACAGGUUUUCUCUUGUUAACCCAUCAUUUGUUAUAGGGGUGUCAGAGUGAACCUUGCAAUGGGUGAAAAUAAGACAAAAACUUCCCC